UCUUCGCCAUGGAAUACCUGAGUGGUGGAGACCUGAUGGACUUCAUAAAAGAAAGAGCACCACUAGAUAUUGCGACAAUAAGAUUCCUAACCGCAGAGAUCCUUUGUGGCCUGCAAGUUCCUUCAUAACCGGGGAAUUGUACACCGGGAUCUCAAACCAGACAACAUUAUGCUGGACAGCGUUGGACAUGUGAGGAUCGCGGACUUUGGCUUAUCAGCAAUAGGUGUGGGCUCCGACAAGGCCCUUUGUUUGGGGGAAACGUCGCACGACCGCACAAUUGUCAGUUAAAGCGACGCCGUGCCGAAUUGCAAAAAGUGCUCUAAUCAGGAAGGGGGUAAAUUCUUCCGGGGCUGAAGUGGUUAAGUGUAAAUGUUAUUUUUAAUAUACAGACAGAAUUUAAUAAAGCUCAUUCCCAUCCUCACCUCUUUUGUAUUCUGUCGGCCUUUGGCCCCAGCAUUCUUUUCCUCAUCAAGUUGUAUUGAUGCGAAAUAAAGAUGUUAAAAUCCGUGAUUAGAGGUAAACAGUUUAUAUAUAAAACAGUUUUGUGAUGAUAAUCUUUUUAGUAGUCGUUUGGACUGAAAUGACCGAAGAUUGCAAUCUAGGCGCUUCUUCUUGUCUUUUAUAAGGCCUUUCUCAUUACGCUUCCUUAUUAGGUGUUCUGAAGCCAAGGAUUGAUUAACACAUAAAGGCUAUAAUACGCUGUCAUUGUCCCUGUGGAAUACACUUUAGACUUUUAUGAUUAAA